rnacentral:rRNA from 1 species
CCUACGGGAGGCAGCAGUGGGGAAUAUUGCACAAUGGGGGGAACCCUGAUGCAGCGACGCCGCGUGGGGGAAGAAGCUCCUAGGCGCGUAAAGCCCUGUCAGCAGGGAAGAAAAUGACGGUAUCUAACGAAGAAGCCCCGGCUAACUACGUGCCAGCAGCCGCGGUAAUACGGAGGGGGCAAGCGUUACUCGGAAUCACUGGGUGUAAAGGGGGCGCAGACGGCGAUGUAAGCCAGGUGUGAAAUCCCGUGGCCUAACGACAGGACUGCUUUUGGAACUGUGUGGCUGGAGUGUAGGAGGGGUAGGUGGAAUUCUUGGUGUAGCGGUAAAAUGCGUAGAUAUCAGGAGGAAUACUCGUGGCGAAGGCGACCUGCUGGAACGCAACUGACGUUGAUGCACGAAAGCGUGGGGAGCAAACAGGAUUAGAUACCCUAGUAGUC